UGCCAGCCGCCGCGGUAAUACGUAGGGGGCUAGCGUUGUCCGGAUUCAUUGGGCGUAAAGAGCGUGUAGGCGGUUCAAUAGGUCCGAUGUGAAAACUCGAGGCUCAACCUCGAGAGGUCGUCGGAAACCAUUGAGCUAGAGUCCGGAAGAGGAGAGUGGAAUUCCUGGUGUAGCGGUGAAAUGCGCAGAUAUCAGGAAGAACACCGAUGGCGAAGGCAGCUCUCUGGGACGGUACUGACGCUGAGACGCGAAAGCGUGGGGAGCGAACAGGAUUAGAUA
rnacentral:rRNA from 1 species